AACGUAGGAGGCGAGCGUUAUCCGGAUUUACUGGGCGUAAAGCGCGUGCAGGCGGUUCGGCAAGUUGGAUGUGAAAGCUCCCGGCUCAACUGGGAGAGGUCGUUCAAUACUACCGAACUUGAGGGCAUCAGAGGAAGGUGGAAUUCCGGGUGUAGUGGUGAAAUGCGUAGAUAUCCGGAGGAACACCAGUGGCGAAGGCGACCUUCUGGGAUGUUCCUGACGCUCAGACGCGAAGGCUAGGGUAGCAAAC
rnacentral:rRNA from 2 species